rnacentral:rRNA from 1 species
UACAGAGGGGGCAAGCGUUAUUCGGAAUUAUUGGGCGUAAAGAGUGCGUAGGCGGUCCUGUAAGUUUGGUGUGAAAUCUCCCGGCUCAACUGGGAGGGUGCGCCGAAGACUGCAGGGCUUGAGUAUGGGAGAGGUAAGCGGAAUUCCUGGUGUAGCGGUGAAAUGCGUAGAUAUCAGGAGGAACACCGAUGGCGAAGGCAGGUCUCUGGGCAUUAACUGACGCUGAGGAGCGAAAGCAUGGGGAGCGAACAGG